GAUGAACGCUGGCGGCGUGCCUAAUACAUGCAAGUCGAGCGAAUGAUGAGGAGCUUGCUCCUCCGAUUUAGCGGCGGACGGGUGAGUAACACGUGGGUAAUCUGCCUGUAAGACGGGGAUAACUCCGGGAAACCGGGGCUAAUACCGGAUAACAAGAGGAAAUGCAUAUUUCCUUUUUGAAAGUCGGUUUACGCUGACACUUACAGAUGAGCCCGCGGCGCAUUAGCUAGUUGGUGAGGUAAUGGCUCACCAAGGCGGCGAUGCGUAGCCGACCUGAGAGGGUGAUCGGCCACACGGGGACUGAGAAACGGCCCAGACUCCUACGGGAGGCAGCAGUAGGGAAUCUUCGGCAAUGGGCGAGAGCCUGACCGAGCAACGCCGCGUGAGCGAUGAAGGCCUUCGGGUCGUAAAGCUCUGUUGUUAGGGAAGAACAAGUAUGAGAGUAACUGCUCGUACCUUGACGGUACCUAACCAGAAAGCCACGGCUAACUACGUGCCAGCCGCCGCCGUAACAC
rnacentral:rRNA from 1 species